UUCCUUCUAUUCUUCUCUCUAUACGUUGGUGUUCCAACCAAUAAUCACCUAUACGAUAUUCUGUCCGAUCGAUUCGGAAACCAACGGAUGAAUGCCAAAGUGCUGUCUAAAUAAGACUAUACUGUGUGAAUUUCGUUAACGUUCUGAUCUCGUGACCAUCAUUAGGUUUGAUUGAGUUUAACACUAAUACGUAUUCCACUCUGUUAAACUAAAUGUUUAACUACCAGAAACUCUGCACUAUACACUUACAAUCAAAACAGAUGCUUAGUUAUCAGAAGACUUAGAAUCAGGAGGCCUGUUAAAUCAAGACUAUAUGCUAACAAGUGAUUAAGUCUUUGCAAAUCUUUAAUUACUGGCAGUAACUGGGGGUAUGUGCAUAUUAUUACUGAUUUAUCACUCUUAGGUGGGUGAGCCUAAUUAGUGAUAUGGCCAAAGUCAUAGAUCCGGUCGAGUGAGAACUGGACCAGAUAAUUAUAAGAUAAGGGGCAAAUGUAAAAACUCUUAAUGCAGUGAAUUAUAACAAAGUUGUAAUUGCAGUGAUUAAGUCUUUGCCAAUCUUGAAGGAGCAAAUGUAAAGACACUUAAUACUGUAAAUUAUAACAAAUGUGUUUUUGUACAACAUGAAUGAACUCACCAGUAUUUCCUGCUGACCAAAUGUUUUUAAAACGCGUUUCAGGUGAUUACAGUAGAUUGGAAUAAGAGUUGUGAUACGGCACCAAAAGGCUUAAAGAAGUGGCUUAUUUUAUCAAUUAAACUAAAUCAAGAAAUGUUGUUUUAUGUAUUCGGGUUUAUCCUAUACUAAAGCUACCUUUGUAUAACAUGGGUUUACUCCCAUCUAUUUAAUAAAUAAAAUCCGGUGUUUCAAAACUCUGAUAUUUUUCCUAACUCACGGUUCUGAUGAAAUUUCCGCUGCAAUACUUUUCAAAAUAACCAUCGGUACCACUUGACUGCUCGCGGCUCCCAUCCAGGGUAUGGUCGGGGGUCGUGACAGAGGUGGUAUCAGAGCCACUGGUUUAAGCAAUUGGGUGUUGUUAUAAUACCUAAGCUUAAACGAAAAAGUUAGGAAAUUGCUAUUAACUGGUAAAUACAAUGGAACUCGUAUUAUUGUAUUAACUCAAUUCGACUUUAAUGAUAAUCACGAGAUCAAAACUCACAAUGAAUGACAAAGUGUAGCCGUAUACAGGCAGCACUUAAACAUCCGUUGGAUCAGUUUCAAUCAAUCGGAUAUAGUAUUGUACCAGUGAUUAGAGGUAUUACCCUAAUAACGAGCAGAGUUUCGGGGUUUAUGGUAUAAUACCGAGCUACUAUUUUGCUAUAAUAGAAGCUAAGAGAAGGAAAAGAAUAGAACGAUUUCAACUGAAGCUCGAACAUCUCAUUUAUAGGGCUGGAAAUGGGGCUCUCGCGCCCCGCGAGAGUGUUAAGACAGGGCUUCGCGGUCCGCGAGGAAGCAUAGGGCGGUUUUGGGUUGCUGAGUCAUAGCGUCAGGUUGACACGUGUAGGGACACGUGGCGUAACACGUGUCUGGAUUGAGAUGAGUCUCUCGCGCCCUGCGAGAGAUCUCUCUUAGUUGGUCGUGGCCUACGAGAACACCAAAAAUCAAAAUUUUUGAUUUCUCAUUUCGGUUUUCGUCGUACGCGUUUAGGGUUCCGAUUAGGGUUUGUUCUAGGGUGUUUUUGAGGGUUUUUACAAGACUAGCAUCUAGUUGUGUCUUAAUUAGUAUCAGUGUCGAGUCGUUAAAAAUAAUAAUA
rnacentral:lncRNA from 1 species